rnacentral:rRNA from 1 species
UAGGGAAUCUUCGGCAAUGGACGAAAGUCUGACCGAGCAACGCCGCGUGAGUGAAGAAGGUUUUCGGAUCGUAAAACUCUGUUGUUAGAGAAGAACAAGGACGUUAGUAACUGAACGUCCCCUGACGGUAUCUAACCAGAAAGCCAAGGCUAACUACGUGCCAGCAGCCGCGGUAAUACGUAGGUGGCAAGCGUUGUCCGGAUUUAUUGGGCGUAAAGCGAGCGCAGGCGGUUUCUUAAGUCUGAUGUGAAAGCCCCCGGCUCAACCGGGGAGGGUCAUUGGAAACUGGGAGACUUGAGUGCAGAAGAGGAGAGUGGAAUUCCAUGUGUAGCGGUGAAAUGCGUAGAUAUAUGGGGGAACACCAGUGGCGAAGGCGGCUCUCUGGUCUGUAACUGACGCUGAGGCUCGAAAGCGUGGGGAGCAAACAGG